UNGUGUCCUCACCUGUGUGCUCAGUAU
rnacentral:piRNA from 1 species